rnacentral:rRNA from 1 species
AGCGAACGCUGGCGGCAGGCCUAACACAUGCAAGUCGAGCGCCCCGCAAGGGGAGCGGCAGACGGGAGAGUAACACGUGGGAACGUACCCUUCAGUUCGGAACAACCCAGGGAAACUUGGGCUAAUACCGGAUACGUCCGUAAGGAGAAAGAUUAUCGCUGAAGGAUCGGCCCGCGUCUGAUUAGCUAGUUGGUGAGGUAACGGCUCACCAAGGCGACGAUCAGUAGCUGGUCUGAGAGGAUGAUCAGCCUCACUGGGACUGAGACACGGCCCAGACUCCUACGGGAGGCAGCAGUGGGGAAUAUUGGACAAUGGGCGCAAGCCUGAUCCAGCCAUGCCGCGUGGAUGAUGAAGGCCCUAGGGUUGUAAAGUCCUUUCGGCGGGGAAGAUAAUGACGGUACCCGCAGAAGAAGCCCCGGCUAACUUCGUGCCAGCAGCCGCGGUAA